UACGGGGGGGGGCAAGCGUUGUUCGGAAUUACUGGGCGUAAAGGGCGCGUAGGCGGCCUUCUAAGUCGGACGUGAAAUCCCUCGGCUCAACCGAGGAACUGCGUCCGAUACUGGAGGGCUUGAAUCCGGGAGAGGGAUGUGGAAUUCCAGGUGUAGCGGUGAAAUGCGUAGAUAUCUGGAGGAACACCGGUGGCGAAGGCGGCAUCCUGGACCGGCAUUGACGCUGAGGCGCGAAAGCCAGGGGAGCAAACGGG
rnacentral:rRNA from 1 species